ACCUUUCAGCCAUGACUUUUCUUCUUUAACCUUAACACACCCAAAACCUAGCACCAGCCCGUCACCGGCCUUAACUCCACCACCUCUCAGCCGUUGUUCUCCAUCAUCACCUGAACCUAAAAACACACCCCUGAACCCCUUUUUCUUCAUCUUCGACGAGAACAUCAUAACUCACUGCCACACGACCACCCUGACCCCUUCUUUUUCAACUAUCGAUCUCGCCGGAAAACGAGCAGCAACCAGCGAUUUAUUUCUUCACCACCCUUUUUCACC
rnacentral:lncRNA from 1 species